AUUGAACGCUGGCGGCAGGCCUAACACAUGCAAGUCGAACGAGGGGCGGACGGGUGAGUAAUGUCUGGGAAACUGCCUGAUGGAGGGGGAUAACUACUGGAAACGGUAGCUAAUACCGCAUACCAUCGGAUGUGCCCAGAUGGGAUUAGCUAGUAGGUGGGGUAACGGCUCACCUAGGCGACGAGCCCUAGCUGGUCUGAGAGGAUGACAAGCAAGACUGGAACGGUGACACGGUCCAGACUCCUACGGUAGGCUGCAGUGGGGAAUAUUGCACAAUGGGCGCAAGCCUGAUGCAGCCAUGCCGCGUGUAUGAAGAAGGCCGUCGGGUUGUAAAGUACUUUCAGCGGGGAGGCGUUACCCGCAGAAGAAGCACCGGCUAACUCCGUGCCAGCCGCCGCGGUAAUUC
rnacentral:rRNA from 1 species